rnacentral:rRNA from 1 species
CCUACGGGGCGCAGCAGUGGGGAAUAUUGCACAAUGGGGGAAACCCUGAUGCAGCGACGCCGCGUGGGUGAAGAAGUAUUUCGGUAUGUAAAGCCCUAUCAGCAGGGAAGAAAAAAAUGACGGUACCUGACUAAGAAGCACCGGCUAAAUACGUGCCAGCAGCCGCGGUAAUACGUAUGGUGCAAGCGUUAUCCGGAUUUACUGGGCGUAAAGGGAGCGCAGGCGGCGCGCCAAGUCUGAUGAGAAACCCCGGGGCUCAA